rnacentral:SRP_RNA from 1 species
AGUUGGGUCUCGUGCGAUAUCAUGCCGUGAAUCUUGUCAGGGCCGGAAGGCAGCAGCAAUAAGCGGAAGUUGGUGUGCGCCGCGAGGUUGCCUGGCUCGA